rnacentral:rRNA from 1 species
AGUUUGAUCCUGGCUCAGAUUGAACGCUGGCGGCAGGCCUAACACAUGCAAGUCGAACGGCAGCGGGGGAUAGCUUGCUAUCCUGCCGGCGAGUGGCGGACGGGUGAGUAAUGCAUGGGGAGCUGCCCAAUCGAGGGGGAUAACAACUGGAAACGGUUGCUAAUACCGCAUACGCCCUGCGGGGGAAAGGUGGGGACCUACGGGCCUACCGCGAUUGGAUGCACCCAUGUGGGAUUAGCUGGUUGGUGAGGUAACGGCUCACCAAGGCGACGAUCUCUAGCUGGUCUGAGAGGAUGACCAGCCACACUGGAACUGAGACACGGUCCAGACUCCUACGGGAGGCAGCAGUGGGGAAUAUUGCACAAUGGGGGAAACCCUGAUGCAGCCAUGCCGCGUGUGUGAAGAAGGCCUUCGGGUUGUAAAGCACUUUCAGUGGGGAGGAAGGGGCGAUGACUAAUAUUCAUCGUCAUUGACGUUACCAACAGAAGAAUCACCGGCUAACUCCGUGACAGCAGC